GACGAACGCUGGCGGCGUGCCUAAUACAUGCAAGUCGAACGCUUUUUCUUUCACCGGAGCUUGCUCCACCGAAAGAAAGAGAGUGGCGAACGGGUGAGUAACACGUGGGUAACCUGCCCAUCAGAAGGGGAUAACACUUGGAAACAGGUGCUAAUACCGUAUAACACUAUUUUCCGCAUGGAAGAAAGUUGAAAGGCGCUUUUGCGUCACUGAUGGAUGGACCCGCGGUGCAUUAGCUAGUUGGUGAGGUAACGGCUCACCAAGGCAGCGAUGCAUAGCCGAACUGAGAGGGUGAUCGGCCACACUGGGACUGAGACACGGCCCAGACUCCUACGGGAGGCAGCAGUAGGGAAUCUUCGGCAAUGGACGAAAGUCUGACCGAGCAACGCCGCGUGAGUGAAGAAGGUUUUCGGAUCGUAAAACUCUGUUGUUAGAGAAGAACAAGGAUGAGAGUAAAAUGUUCAUCCCUUGACGGUAUCUAACCAGAAAGCCACGGCUAACUACGUGCCAGCCGCCGCAGUAA
rnacentral:rRNA from 1 species